GCGACCGAGACGGCAUUCGUCGGCGUCUCCGUAAAUAAGCGCCGACCGUCGGAGGUAAUCGCCGCCAUUACACGCGAUCCUAGUAUCUUCCUCCCGAGACUAAUCCCAGUAAAUCCCACAGGAAUCACCAACGCCGACUAAAUCUCUGCAAAGUCUUGCUGAAGGACGCGCGCGAGAUCCCUGGGCGGUCCAACGAGCGGCUGCGUUGUCUUGAGAGAGAGAGAGAAAACAACAACAACAACAGCAGCAAAAUCACGCUAAUCAGCCAGGGAACCCAAACAGCCAAGGAGCUCCGUCAGCGCGGCCGAGAGGGACCCGAGGAAGGCGCCGACGCAGCUCCUCUCCAAUAAGCAACAAGUACCUGAGGAGACCUGAUCACAGACCUAACCAAGCAACGCCCAAGGGAGAAGAUCGCGUUGCUGUUCGUGUGAUGGCCGAACCUCCUCAUUCAUCCGAAGUUGGGUUUUAUUUUUUAUGAGAAAGUCGUUCUUCAAACCCAAAUAGAUUUUAUGAGAAAGUA